rnacentral:other from 1 species
GGAAAGCUGUGAUGUACGAUUAUUCCAAUCGUGUGUUGACCGAACAUUUUUGUAAAUUGAUAGGGAUCUUAAGUAUUUCAAUCAGCAGUACGCCUUUUCACUUGGUAACUCACGAUUGCAAAUCAAAGAACCCACCUGCUUAUACUGCGGGUUCAAUACCUCAGGAUGUAAAACGGCAUCAACGGAGAGUAC